rnacentral:rRNA from 1 species
AUGAAAAUUAGUGGAUGGAAGGAAAAAUUGUUAUCCUCUGGAGGGAAGGAAAUUUUGCUCAAAUCUGUUGUACAAGCCAUCCCCACCUAUGCCAUGUACGUCUUUAAAAUUCCUAAUAAAAAUUGCAAAGGAAUUAUUGACGUGAGGUCGCAAUUUUGGUGGGGUGGCGAGGACAAUCAGAAGAGGAUGCAUUGGAUGGCAUGGUGGAAAAUGUGUGUUCCAAAAGAUCAAGGAGGUAUGGGUUUCGAGAUAUACACGGUUCCAACAUGGCACUAUUAG